UGGGGAAUAUUGGACAAUGGGGGCAACCCUGAUCCAGCCAUGCCGCGUGAAUGAUGAAGGCCUUAGGGUUGUAAAAUUCUUUCGCCAGGGAUGAUAAUGACAGUACCUGGUAAAGAAGCCCCGGCUAACUUCGUGCCAGCAGCCGCGGUAAUACGAAGGGGGCUAGCGUUGUUCGGAAUUACUGGGCGUAAAGCGCACGUAGGCGGGUUAUUAAGUCAGAUGUGAAAUCCCGAGGCUCAACCUCGGAACUGCAUUUGAAACUGGUAACCUAGAGUUCAGGAGAGGUUAGCGGAAUACCGAGUGUAGAGGUGAAAUUCGUAGAUAUUCGGUGGAACACCAGUGGCGAAGGCGGCUAACUGGACUGAUACUGACGCUGAGGUGCGAAAGUGUGGGGAGCAAACAGGAUUAGAUACCCCCGUAGUCC
rnacentral:rRNA from 1 species